CCUACGGGAGGCAGCAGUGGGGAAUUUUGGACAAUGGGCGAAAGCCUGAUCCAGCAAUGCCGCGUGCAGGAUGAAGGCCUUCGGGUUGUAAACUGCUUUUGUACGGAACGAAACGGUUUCUUUCUAAUAAAGAGGGCUAAUGACGGUACCGUAAGAAUAAGCACCGGCUAACUACGUGCCAGCAGCCGCGGUAAUACGUAGGGUGCAAGCGUUAAUCGGAAUUACUGGGCGUAAAGCGUGCGCAGGCGGUUAUGUAAGACAGUUGUGAAACUCCCCGGGCUCAACCUGGGAAUUGCAUCUGUGACUGCAUAGCUAGAGUACGGUAGAGGGGGAUGGAAUUCCGCGUGUAGCAGUGAAAUGCGUAGAUAUGCGGAGGAACACCGAUGGCGAAGGCAAUCCCCUGGACCUGUACUGACGCUCAUGCACGAAAGCGUGGGGGGCAAACAGGAUUAGAUACCCUGGUAGUCCACGCCCUAAACGAUGUCAACUGGUUGUUGGGUCUUCACUGACUCAGUAACGAAGCUAACGCGUGAAGUUGCCGCCUGGGGNGGCGGCGCGAGUAGUUAGAGAAGAGUUAGNGNGNGNGNGNGCGACGACGACGACGAGGAGGAGG
rnacentral:rRNA from 1 species